rnacentral:rRNA from 1 species
GUUACGCUAAUACCGCAUAAGACCACGCUCUCGAAAGGGAGCGAGGUAAAAGUAGGCCUCUGAAUUCACGCUUACACUCGAGGAUGAGCCCGCGGCCCAUCAUGGUAGUUGGUAGGGUAAUGGCCUACCAAGCCGAAGACGGGUAGCUGGUCUUAGAGGAUGAUCAGCCACACUGGAACUGAGACACGGUCCAGACUCCUACGGGAGGCAGCAGUGGGGAAUCUUGCGCAAUGGGCGAAAGCCUGACGCAGCGACGCCGCGUGGGUGAUGAAGGCCUUCGGGUCGUAAAGCUCUGUGGGGAGAGACGAAUAAGACGUGGCUAAUAUCUACGGCGAUGACGGUAUCUCCUUAGCAAGCACCGGCUAACUCUGUG